rnacentral:rRNA from 1 species
AUGCAACCUACCCUGUACUGGGGGAUAACCCGGAGAAAUUCGGACUAAUACCCCAUAAUGAUAUUAAGAGGCAUCUCUAUAUAUUUAAAGUUACGACGGUACGGGAUGGGCAUGCGUAAGAUUAGCUAGUUGGCAGGGUAACGGCCUACCAAGGCUUCGAUCUUUAGGGGUCCUGAGAGGGUGAUCCCCCACACUGGUACUGAGACACGGACCAGACUCCUACGGGAGGCAGCAGUGAGGAAUAUUGGUCAAUGGGCGCAAGCCUGAACCAGCCAUCCCGCGUGAAGGAAGAAGGCGCUAUGCGUUGUAAACUUCUUUUCCAGGGAAAUAAAAUUUCGUACGUGUACGGAACUGAAGGUACCCUGGGAAUAAGCAUCGGCUAACUCCGUGCCAGCAGCCGCGGUAAUACGGAGGAUGCAAGCGUUAUCCGGAUUUAUUGGGUUUAAAGGGUGCGCAGGCGGAAUAAUAAGUCAGUGGUGAAAUCCUGCAGCUUAACUGUAGAAUUGCCAUUGAUACUGUUGUUCUUGAGUGUGGUCAAGGUAGGCGGAAUGUGUAAUGUAGCGGUGAAAUGCUUAGAUAUUACACAGAACACCGAUGCGAAGGCAGCUUACUGGGCCACUACUGACGCUCAUGCACGAAAACGUGGGGAUCGAACAGGAUUAGAUACCCUGGUAGUCCACGCCGUAACGAUGAUCACUCGCUGUUAGCGAUACACUGUUAGCGGCUAAGCAAAAGCAUUAAGUGAUCCACCUGGGGAGUACGACCGCAAGGUUGAAACUCAAAGGAAUUGACGGGGCCCGCAC